rnacentral:lncRNA from 1 species
CGCAUUUGAGAAGAUUUAUCAGCAAUUGUCUAGUGAGGUGGUUCCAAAAAUUCCUGGUUUCCAAAGAGCUUCAAAUUUAAGGAAAUAUGAAGGAAUACAGAUGUCAGAAACUGUAAAUGCUCUUGUUAACUCACCUGUUCGAUCUUUAUAUGCAAUUCCCAGAGUUAAGAGACUAGGAAAUUUUCAAAAUGAUCUUCUUUCUUCACCAGUAAAGCGACUGAAAAAUAUACCUGAACAUUUUUUUUCAACAAAAUAUCAGCAGAUUUCUCACAAGAAAUAUGGUGAUCUUCAGACAGUUGGCAUGGAUUCUGCUAGCCUACACAAUGGCAGUAACACCAGAUUUUUUAACAGUAACAACUGUCAUCAUCAGGACUCUGGGUUUCACGCUUCUUCAGAUAAAACUUUUCUUGUUAUUCCUGAUGCUUCGUUGAAAGAAUUGGAGAAUACAGAUGCCCAGUCUGGUUGGCGUAGGACAAUGCCAAAUUACAGUAGCCCUGGAAAUGCACUGAAAUGCCCCCAAAAGUCCACUCCCUGGCAUUGUGAUUGUUGGAACAGCCCCUGAGAGGAUGCCUUUGAGACCAAGGCACUGGAAGGAGACUCAGAACAAUUAGUGUUUAGCAUCAGACUGUGGUGCAGGAUUGCCCAGCGUCAUGCAGCAAUUUUUUCCUCUCAGUCUGGCAUUUACAAAGUGCUGUUUGUAAAGGCAAUAUACACCUUCUUCUGUUUGAGUAAACUGCCUAGGAAGCUCACAAUUACAGACG